rnacentral:rRNA from 1 species
UGCGUAGGUGGAUAAUUAAGUCAGUGGUGAAAUCUUCAGGCUUAACCUGGAAACUGCCAUUGAUACUAUUUAUCUUGAAUACUUUGGAGGUAAGCGGAAUAUGUCAUGUAGCGGUGAAAUGCUUAGAUAUGACAUAGAACACCAAUUGCGAAGGCAGCUUACUACACAGUAAUUGACACUGAGGCACGAAAGCGUGGGGAUCAAACA